GGAAUUACAGGCAUGAGCCACUAUGCCCAGCCACAUUCUUAACCUUAAAGGGCUCUCAAUAUGGAGAUAGAACACUGGAGUCGAAGUCCCAGCCCCCUCUGUCGCUCUCUCUGAAGCUCAGUGUUGUCAUUUGCAAGAUGAGGACAAUAUAGCAUGCAACCUCACCUUCAGAAAAGACUCCAUGGACUUUGAGGCCAGAGAGUUGCUCCGGAACAGGGUGUUGGUCUUUUGUUACUUGGUCAUAAGUAGGCGUUUUCCUUUUGAUUUGGUUCUAGGAGGUUAGUGUGCAUUGGCGUUCUGUUGCCUGCUUCCAGCCCCUAUUCUCCUGCCUCAGGUUCAUUAGAAAAGACUGAGUUUGGGGCCGGGCAGGGUGGCUCACACCUGUAAUCCCAGUACUUUGGGAGGCCAAGGUGGGCAGAUCACGAGGUCAUCUGGGCAUGGUGGCACGUGCCUGUAGUCCCAGCUACUCAGGAGGCUGAGGCAGGAGAAUUACUUGAACUUGGGAGGCAGAGGUUUCAGUGAGCCGAGUUCGUGGUCACUGCACUCCAGCCUGGCUACAGAGUGAGAUUCCAUCUCAAAAAAAAAAAAAAAAAAAAGAAUGAGUCUGGCCCCUUUUUGUCUUUCUCUCAUCCUCUUUGCCUUUCACCAUGUUAUGAUGCAGCAAGAAGCCCCUCAUCAGAUACUAGUGCCAUGACCUUGGACUUCCCAGCCUCCAGAACUGUGAGAAAAUAAAUUUCUGUUCUAUGUAAAUUACAUAGUCUGUGGUACUUUGUUAUAGCAGCACAAAACAAACAAGACAACAAGCAACAAUCAUGUGAACAGAAAGAAAAAUGGGCAUAACAAAUGAACCAUGUUUUUGUCCAAAUUAGGUUCACAAGCCCUUAUCUGCACCAUCCAGACUCAAACACCUUAAGAUUUUGGUAGUUCAUUUGGUAGCAAAAACUGACCUUAAUUGUCAUGAGGAUAUUUAGAGUCGUCUUAUAUUCCACUUAGCUGAUUAUUCACACAUAUCACACACUUAGCUGAUUAUUCACACAUAUCACAGCAAAAGCAUGAACAUGUCUGAUUACCAGUUCCUGUCCAGAUCCUGUGAUAAGGGCUUACCCAGGACAUACAUGGUAUAACUUUUCUGAAAUCUUAGAUUGAAUUCCAAAGCACAUCUGGACUUAAGGGAUUGUGGAUAUAUACAUAUAUAUACUAUAUGUAUAUAUAUACACAUAUGCAUAUAUAUACAUAUGUGUAUAUAUAUACAUGUGCAUAUAUACAUAUACAUAUGCAUAUA
rnacentral:lncRNA from 1 species